GUCUUGGUAGCUCAGUUGGUAGAGCGGCGGGCUGGUAUCCCGGAGUUGUGAGUUCAAGUCUCGGCCGAGACA